rnacentral:rRNA from 1 species
GAGUUUGAUCUUGGCUCAGAGCGAACGUUAGCGGCGGGCCUAACACAUGCAAGUCGAGCGAGAAAGUGGCUUCGGCCAUCAGUAAAGCGGCGGACGGGUGAGUAACACGUAGGUAAUCUUCCCUUGAGCGGGGGACAACGAGCCGAAAGGCUCGCUAAUACCGCAUAAGUUUUCCGGGACUCCGGUUCUGGAAAGGAAAGCUAGGUAGCAAUAUCCGGCACUCGAGGAGGAGCCUGCGUCGCAUCAGCUAGUUGGUGGGGUAAUGGCCUACCAAGGCGAAGACGCGUAGCUGGUCUGAGAGGAUGAUCAGCCACACUGGGACUGAGACACGGCCCAGACUCCUACGGGAGGCAGCAGUGGGGAAUAUUGGACAAUGGGCGCAAGCCUGAUCCAGCCACGCCGCGUGAGUGAUGAAGGCCUUCGGGCCGU